GAAAACUUGUACAGCUGUGUGGACUCCACGGGCCCAACACACCUUCAUCUGCUGUGGGAAGUCAACGGCUCUCAGCAGAUUGCACCUCUAAAUGUUUGGAGACAGUCUUGCUUCUCCCCGGCAUCUUACCAGGUUGCUUCUCCCCUGAACCCACACUUCUUUCACGCUGGUCCCUGAACUUAGCCUGGGACUUGUUAAUCUCAACUGUCAAUGUGACAAGGUCGCCAUGGAAGCGAACUUCUGGGAGAAACUGCAGCCUGCCUACUCAAGCCUCAAUCACCCUGCCCCCUGGUGCCCAGGGCAACCUGCAUGAGCACGCGCAUGCGCAUGCGCGGCAGGCAUCUCCUCCCUGAGCCAAGCCACCAAGCCUGACUCAAUGCCCAGAGAUGCUGACAGAGAGACACCUGACCCAGAGACACCAAUGAGGAAAGCAGAACGCAGCGGAGUCAGCUGCCUGAGCCAAUAGCACCUUGGGAGGGGGUAUAAAGCCAGGUCUAACUUAGUUAAUAAACGAGUCUGCGGAAUGCUCUGCUA